GGGUUGUGAGGUUAAGCGACUAAGCGUACACGGUGGAUGCCCUGGCAGUCAGAGGCGAUGAAGGACGUGCUAAUCUGCGAUAAGCGUCGGUGAGGUGAUAUGAACCGUUAUAACCGGCGAUUUCCGAAUGGGGAAACCCAGUGUGUUUCGACACACUAUCAUUAACUGAAUCCAUAGGUUAAUGAGGCGAACCGGGGGAACUGAAACAUCUAAGUACCCCGAGGAAAAGAAAUCAACCGAGAUUCCCCCAGUAGCGGCGAGCGAACGGGGAGGAGCCCAGAGCCUGAAUCAGUGUGUGUGUUAGUGGAAGCGUCUGGAAAGGCGCGCGAUACAGGGUGACAGCCCCGUACACAAAAAUGCACAUGCUGUGAGCUCGAUGAGUAGGGCGGGACACGUGGUAUCCUGUCUGAAUAUGGGGGGACCAUCCUCCAAGGCUAAAUACUCCUGACUGACCGAUAGUGAACCAGUACCGUGAGGGAAAGGCGAAAAGAACCCCGGCGAGGGGAGUGAAAAAGAACCUGAAACCGUGUACGUACAAGCAGUGGGAGCCUCUUAAUGGGGUGACUGCGUACCUUUUGUAUAAUGGGUCAGCGACUUAUAUUCUGUAGCAAGGUUAACCGAAUAGGGGAGCCGAAGGGAAACCGAGUCUUAACUGGGCGUUAAGUUGCAGGGUAUAGACCCGAAACCCGGUGAUCUAGCCAUGGGCAGGUUGAAGGUUGGGUAACACUAACUGGAGGACCGAACCGACUAAUGUUGAAAAAUUAGCGGAUGACUUGUGGCUGGGGGUGAAAGGCCAAUCAAACCGGGAGAUAGCUGGUUCUCCCCGAAAGCUAUUUAGGUAGCGCCUCGUGAAUUCAUCUCCGGGGGUAGAGCACUGUUUCGGCAAGGGGGUCAUCCCGACUUACCAACCCGAUGCAAACUGCGAAUACCGGAGAAUGUUAUCACGGGAGACACACGGCGGGUGCUAACGUCCGUCGUGAAGAGGGAAACAACCCAGACCGCCAGCUAAGGUCCCAAAGUCAUGGUUAAGUGGGAAACGAUGUGGGAAGGCCCAGACAGCCAGGAUGUUGGCUUAGAAGCAGCCAUCAUUUAAAGAAAGCGUAAUAGCUCACUGGUCGAGUCGGCCUGCGCGGAAGAUGUAACGGGGCUAAACCAUGCACCGAAGCUGCGGCAGCGACACUAUGUGUUGUUGGGUAGGGGAGCGUUCUGUAAGCCUGUGAAGGUGGCCUGUGAGGGUUGCUGGAGGUAUCAGAAGUGCGAAUGCUGACAUAAGUAACGAUAAAGCGGGUGAAAAGCCCGCUCGCCGGAAGACCAAGGGUUCCUGUCCAACGUUAAUCGGGGCAGGGUGAGUCGACCCCUAAGGCGAGGCCGAAAGGCGUAGUCGAUGGGAAACAGGUUAAUAUUCCUGUACUUGGUGUUACUGCGAAGGGGGGACGGAGAAGGCUAUGUUGGCCGGGCGACGGUUGUCCCGGUUUAAGCGUGUAGGCUGGUUUUCCAGGCAAAUCCGGAAAACCAAGGCUGAGGCGUGAUGACGAGGCACUACGGUGCUGAAGCGACAAAUGCCCUGCUUCCAGGAAAAGCCUCUAAGCAUCAGGUAACAUUAAAUCGUACCCCAAACCGACACAGGUGGUCAGGUAGAGAAUACCAAGGCGCUUGAGAGAACUCGGGUGAAGGAACUAGGCAAAAUGGUGCCGUAACUUCGGGAGAAGGCACGCUGAUAUGUAGGUGAAGCGACUUGCUCGUGGAGCUGAAAUCAGUCGAAGAUACCAGCUGGCUGCAACUGUUUAUUAAAAACACAGCACUGUGCAAACACGAAAGUGGACGUAUACGGUGUGACGCCUGCCCGGUGCCGGAAGGUUAAUUGAUGGGGUUAGCGGCAACGCGAAGCUCUUGAUCGAAGCCCCGGUAAACGGCGGCCGUAACUAUAACGGUCCUAAGGUAGCGAAAUUCCUUGUCGGGUAAGUUCCGACCUGCACGAAUGGCGUAAUGAUGGCCAGGCUGUCUCCACCCGAGACUCAGUGAAAUUGAACUCGCUGUGAAGAUGCAGUGUACCCGCGGCAAGACGGAAAGACCCCGUGAACCUUUACUAUAGCUUGACACUGAACAUUGAGCCUUGAUGUGUAGGAUAGGUGGGAGGCUUUGAAGUGUGGACGCCAGUCUGCAUGGAGCCGACCUUGAAAUACCACCCUUUAAUGUUUGAUGUUCUAACGUGGGCCCCUUACCGGGGUUGCGGACAGUGUCUGGUGGGUAGUUUGACUGGGGCGGUCUCCUCCUAAAGAGUAACGGAGGAGCACGAAGGUUGGCUAAUCCUGGUCGGACAUCAGGAGGUUAGUGCAAUGGCAUAAGCCAGCUUGACUGCGAGCGUGACGGCGCGAGCAGGUGCGAAAGCAGGUCAUAGUGAUCCGGUGGUUCUGAAUGGAAGGGCCAUCGCUCAACGGAUAAAAGGUACUCCGGGGAUAACAGGCUGAUACCGCCCAAGAGUUCAUAUCGACGGCGGUGUUUGGCACCUCGAUGUCGGCUCAUCACAUCCUGGGGCUGAAGUAGGUCCCAAGGGUAUGGCUGUUCGCCAUUUAAAGUGGUACGCGAGCUGGGUUUAGAACGUCGUGAGACAGUUCGGUCCCUAUCUGCCGUGGGCGCUGGAGAACUGAGGGGGGCUGCUCCUAGUACGAGAGGACCGGAGUGGACGCAUCACUGGUGUUCGGGUUGUCAUGCCAAUGGCACUGCCCGGUAGCUAAAUGCGGAAGAGAUAAGUGCUGAAAGCAUCUAAGCACGAAACUUGCCCCGAGAUGAGUUCUCCCUGACCCUUUAAGGGUCCUGAAGGAACGUUGAAGACGACGACGUUGAUAGGCCGGGUGUGUAAGCGCAGCGAUGCGUUGAGCUAACCGGUACUAAUGAACCGUGAGGCUUAACCUUACAACGCCGAAG
rnacentral:rRNA from 1 species